CUGGGCUCCAACUGCUUGCCAGGAGUUAGGCUACUGAUGGUGCACAGCUGACUCUGUCCUUGGACGGUCUCUUCUGCCAGAGGAUCCGCCUGCCCUGCCAAAGGUCACUUCCCUUCUUUGGAAAAUAAGAGAUGUAAGGACACAGAGGCCCAGAUCCUUUGUCUCAGUUCAAGGCACCCUGCAGGGACACCCCAAUACCAGAGCUGCCAAUUGACUUUGCUGUCCUUGUUUCCCAGCAAACUACUCCCCUCACGGUCAAUCUGCACGCGAGUCUCGGUUGCAGGGUCUGUGUCCCGGGGAACCCAACGCAAACACUGACAUCAACAGCAAUCUGCCUGGCCCAGGCAUUCUAAUCAUUCAGCGACCAACAAAACUGAUUGAGCUCCAGGAUCUGAAUGAGUCGUUUGCUGAAUAAUGGUCUUCAUCUCAUCUGUAAUAUCCCCUGUGUCCAUAAGGUUGUGCUUGGAUAGGUGCAGGAUUGCCUGUCCUUGCUGUACUUCCAAACUAAUCCUCAUAAACAGAUCUGACGCUGAGCAGUAUCAAAGAGAAAACUUUAUAUAAAAAGCAAGCAUUCUCUGAAUCCCCAACACCCGGUGGGCUGAAUCACAGCUAUUGUCAUAUCGAUCACAACAAUCUGAGGCUGCUGUGAACUGUCAUGGGGCACUGCACAGCCCACCGGAAGGAUCGCACACUCUGGAAAGGGGACUUGUCAAUGACAGGAAUAAAAGAAGGCAGCCAGGACAGUCUCUCCUUCACCAAAGAUAAGUAUAAACCACUUGGACAAGCAUCUCCUCACCAACAGAUGAGAUCAUGGACUUCAGUUUUUCCCGACUAUGUGCUUUCUGAAAUGCUUGAGUCCUUCUCCCUGCUCCAUCUUUUUUUUUUUUUUCCUUAG
rnacentral:lncRNA from 1 species